UGUCUUCAGGGCGGAGUGCAAUUCUCCACCGGUGGUUAAAGUCCACGAGCUGAUGCUGAACAGGUGUGAUUCCUGUACCGACGGUUAUAGUCCGGAUGAAAGAAGAUG
rnacentral:ncRNA from 1 species